UCAUGUGUACCCAGCUGCCUGUGCAUUCAUUCAUUUAGUCAAUAUUACUGAGCAUCUAUUAUGUGCUUGCCUUGCGCUAAGCACUGAGUGUUCAGCGAUGAUCAACUGUGCACAAUCUUGUUGAUUCUACCUUAGAACACCUUUUCAGGUAGUCCCAUCCUGGGAGUUCCUACUGCCCAUGCCUUGGGGCAGCUGCCCAGCACCUUCACUUGGGCACCUGACCCCACCUUCCCAUCUGGCCUCCUUGCUGCCCUCAGUGCCACCAACACACUGCUACCAGCAGUAUUUUCAUCAACAAAAAAAUCCAGCCAUGUCACUUAGUAUCCUGCUAGAAACCUUUUACUGGCAUUCCACUGCAGGAAAGGUCUAAUCAAACUCCUUAGUGGGGCACAUAGAGCCUUGGAGAGCGAGCCUCCACUAUCUUCCCGCUUCAUCCCCUUCCAUUCCAUCCCCAACUGCCUCUCUUCUGGUCACUCUGGCCUUUUUGCCAUUCCCAAGCUUGGCAGGCCCUUCAAUUACUCUGCUUAUUUGCAUAUGGUACCCUUUCACAUUCUCCAGAGAGCAAGAUCUCUUGCUUUUUUUUUUUCUUUUUCUUUUUUUUUUUGAACAAACUCUUAUGUAUCCUUCAAGCCCAGGCCAAACGGCACCUUCUCUGUGAAACCAUCCUUAACUUUCCCAGGAAAAAACUCACUGGACUGUAAUAGAUCUGUUUGUGUGUCUGUUUCCCCAGGAGACUGUCCCCCCCAAGGCCAGAGAUCAUGUCCAGAAACCCAGUAGGCACAAAGAAUGUGGAACAAACAAAUGACCACGUUUUAUUGUACAGUGGUUUCAAAAUGAAGUCAGGAGGCAGAGUUGAGGCUGCAAAGCAGCUCCUCACAAAAACCACUCUAUGCAUCCUGCAGUGGGGGAGGUGGCUCUUCUAAAUAUGUGUACAACUUAAUUUAUGCACAGACAGAAUAAUUUAGAUGCAGUAAGACAGCAAAAACUCCCCCUAGAAAUUACAUCCCCGUCCACUUGAGUCAAGUUCCUACUAAUUCUCUACUCUAGAAAGGGAGGUAGGAGAUGAAAAAGAAUGAAAGAAGUCAGCAAACGCCCCUGAAGGUCUCUCUGCCUAUUUAACACACACACAUUCACAGAGAAGGUGCCAUUUGGCCUCCAUUACCUCCUCUGUCAGGUCAAUUCUAAUUUAAUAUAUUUGCUGUUUCUAUUGGCUGGGUGGGGAGUGGAAAUGACAACCAAUUUUUUGAGAAAAUGGACUUUUAAAAAAGCAAAUGGUAUGGAAUAUUAUUCAGCCUUAAAAAGGAAUGAAAUUCUGAUGCAUGCCAUGACAUGGGUGAACUCUGAAAAUAUGUUAGAUAAAACAA
rnacentral:lncRNA from 1 species